AGCAAUCAGCCUGGCUUCCCACAUGCUGAGCUUGCAGUCCAGCCUUUUUGAGUCAUCUCCCCAGCUUUUAAAUUGCCCUUUUAACAGGUUAUCACCCAAGAGUUUCUUUUUAAGAGAAAAAUGCUUUUUACCUCCAAAUGAAAAUUUCAUUGAUUAUUCAUCUGACAUUUUCAGUUAUUAAAUAGUAGAAGAAAAUGGAAUUGAAUAUGACAUCAAUAUGGAACAGUCGGAUUCAUUAGGAGUCAACCAUAAUGAUUCCAAAGAUUCAAAAGGAGAGUCUGCAGUGUUUGAG